GAAAAGAGAUUUGAUUUCUGUGCCUAUUAACCACUCCAACAGAAGGUCGUGUGAAGAGUGAUGUUGAAGCUAUUAGUAGAAGUUAGAAAAAAAAUCUAUUUAUAAGACCAGCAGAAGAAGACCUGAACUUCAGAGGGGACCACAAAUGAAUGAAUUAAGAACACAGCUGUUUUUUCAAAAGCCAACACAAAAUGAGGAUGGGUUUUAUACAAAAGCAGCUAUUCCUGCCAAUGGGCAUAUGCAUGUCCUUCUUUCAUAUGUCACAAGCAGACCUCGGAAAUUCCCUGGGAAGUCCCCUCCACCCAGAGCCUGCAGCUUCUCCAUUUGACUGUGAUUCUGUUGGAUCUUGAGAGACUUUAUGAUCGUCAGCUCUUAUCACAAUACGGCUCUUCCUGGAGUGAGGAGACAACAUGGUACCUGGAAAGAUGAGGGAAGUGGACUGGGAAAUGGGAAUCUGUCCCAUUUCAGUUCUACCACUUCCAGCCUAGUGGCUUUGGGAGGGGCCUGCAAUUUCCCUGGCCUCAAUGGUUUCAUCUGUAAAAUGGAAUGGCAUGGAGACGUUGAAAGUGAAAGCAUCUGCCAUCAUGCCCGGAGGUGUUCAAGAAAUGAUUCCUUCCUGUCUGCCGACCUCAGUUUUCCAUUUGUAAGCUCUCUCUCUAAAGGAACGUGGAAUCUAUUUUCCUGAGGCUCCGUAUAAGCAUGAGGAUUUACAAUUUGAAACACCCCUUCUUACUGACAGAAGACCACUGUUCCACAUAAAUUCCAGACACACCAUCAGAAGCAAAAUUCUUCUCACCAUUUCUGCAAAUGGCCAGGAGAAGCUAUUCACAACUUCCAAACUCUGAGACAAGACACCCAGGGACAAAUCACUGUGAGGGCUGAAACAAGUUAUGGCAGAAGAUCCCACAUCACAGAAUCCUGAGAUGGAGGCACCUGGGUGAGUGAUAUCUCAUCCUGUAAUGCUGUAGACAAAAUAACAUCCCUGGGGAUAGAAGUGACUUGGUUAUGGUCACAGAACAAGUAGUGGCAGAGCUAAGACUAAAAUCCAAGUUUAUUCCCUAGUCUGGGCACUAGGAUACCUUGUUUUUUUAAGUGCACUCAUUGGAAAAUUUAAAGAUUAAUCGUUGAGAAUAUGUUUCGUUUCCACUUCUUCAGAAGAGACGGUCUCAUAAAUUUAAAUACCUUACACAC